CCUACGGGAGGCAGCAGUGAGGAAUAUUGGUCAAUGGACGAGAGUCUGAACCAGCCAAGUAGCGUGAAGGAUGACUGCCCUAUGGGUUGUAAACUUCUUUUAUAUGGGAAUAAAAUGCUCCACGUGUGGGAUUUUGUAUGUACCAUAUGAAUAAGGAUCGGCUAACUCCGUGCCAGCAGCCGCGGUAAUACGGAGGAUCCGAGCGUUAUCCGGAUUUAUUGGGUUUAAAGGGAGCGUAGGUGGAUUGUUAAGUCAGUUGUGAAAGUUUGCGGCUCAACCGUAAAAUUGCAGUUGAUACUGGCAGUCUUGAGUACAGUAGAGGUGGGCGGAAUUCGUGGUGUAGCGGUGAAAUGCUUAGAUAUCACGAAGAACUCCGAUUGCGAAGGCAGUUCACUGGACUGCAACUGACACUGAGGCUCGAAAGUGUGGGUAUCAAACAGGAUUAGAUACCCUAGUAGUC
rnacentral:rRNA from 1 species